rnacentral:rRNA from 1 species
UACGAAGGGGGCUAGCGUUGCUCGGAAUCACUGGGCGUAAAGCGCACGUAGGCGGUUUGUUAAGUCAGGUGUGAAAUCCUGGAGCUCAACUCCAGAACUGCCUUUGAUACUGGCGAUCUUGAGUCCGGGAGAGGUGAGUGGAACUGCGAGUGUAGAGGUGAAAUUCGUAGAUAUUCGCAAGAACACCAGUGGCGAAGGCGGCUCACUGGGCCGGUACUGACGCUGAGGUGCGAAAGCGUGGGGAGCAAACAGG